AUGAAUACUGCAACCUCCUUUCUUGCUUAUCAUGACAAGAUUGUGUUUUUCUUGAAAACAGAGAAAAGGACAUUUCUUAUUGGUUUCCCUUCAUUUCAUUUCAGACAAAUGUUGCGUGGACUCUCAUAUUUUUUAAACGCCUGUCUCCUUUGCCUAGCAAGGUAAAAAAGAUACAUAAAAGCUCAUUUAAUUUCUCUAGAUUCUUUAAUAGGCUUAAUCAACUUUCUCAUUUUCCAUUUGAAUAUGAAAGACUUUUUAAAUAUCAAAAAUUUCAUGUACCUUGUAAAGAAGCUCAUGUGUGUCAUUGGCUGCCUGAUUGAUAAAAUGACUUUGGUGAGGGAGAAUGUUAGCAAUGUAUGAGUGAAAGAUCUUGAUUUGGGUGUUAUUUGGACUAAGGUAGAAGAGAAGUCACACUCUGCCUUAUUUUUUUUCCUCUGGUGGGAGAUCAAUACUGUCUAGACAUGGUCUCAUUAUGACUUUGCAUUGACUAAGGCAGACUCGGUCAACAGUGGGGCUGACAUUCCUGUAAUCCAGGCUGCUGGUGGGAUAUUUGUGUUGCCCUUUACUACAGAGAACCCCAGAUUCACUGGUGUCAACUCUGUGUAUCCCAGCAUCUUCCCUCUCCAUUGUAGGGUUAUCCUAGAGGACAGCAUAUAUCAACUCCUGACUUUUUAAGAGUCUGAAUCCUAGAAGUCCUGGGAGCUGCUCUCUAGGAUUUCCCAGCAUGCUUGGUGACAAUUGCAUCGGGGCUAAGAGGAACCUUGGAGCAUUUGAAUCCUCUGUGAUCUCAACCAUAAAACCAGAGACAGUCAUACAACUCACAUGUAGAGGCCUCAAUCCCCUUCUGAAAGCCCAGCUAUAGUCCCUGUCAUUCAGCUGCUGUCUCAUUAAUUUCUACAAAUAAUAUCCUCAUGAAUGGAAGUGUUACCAGUUUUAUAUUCAGAUUAAUUCUCAUUUAUAAGAAAUUUUUAUCUAUUUGAGUAGAUUUUUAAAUUGAGGAAUUUUAUGAUUUUUCACCUAGGAUCAGAACUUAAAAAUCUUGUCUUCUCUGUAUUAGAUAUUCAGACUUCUGGCUAUGCUUCUCUGCACAGAAUCUUAAAUCCUUCAUUUGUGGUUAUUUGUUGGCAUUUUGCAAGAGAGUGAAGCAAUGUCUGAGCCACUAGAGGCCAGAGGUGGCCCACCCUGACUGGGUUUCCAACAGUGGAAUAAAUGUGAUUUGUCUCGCA
rnacentral:lncRNA from 12 species